UUACGAUCAUCUCACGCUGAAACCACCAGUUCUCGUGCGAUCACCGAAGUUAAGCAGCGUUAAGCCUGGUCAGUACCUAAAUGGGUGACCGCUUGGGAAUAUGAGGUGCU